rnacentral:lncRNA from 1 species
UUGGUUCAUCGUCCCCUAAAGGGUUGUCCCCCUUUAGUUCAUCCCCUUUAGGGGAACUAAAGGGGUGUUCCCCUUCUUCCCCUAAAGGGGACGGAGUCCCCUUUAGGGGAAGAAGGGGUUCCCCUUCGGGGAUGAACCAAAGUCUUCCCCUACGUCUUCCCCAAAAGGGGAAGACUUUGGGGUUCUUCCCCUUUAGGGGAAGAAGAAGAGCACUAAAGAAGAUGAACAAAGGUUGUUCUUCUUCCCCUUUAGUUCCCCUAAAGGGGAUGAACGAAAGUUCCCCUUUAGGGGAAGAACCCCAAAGUCUUCCCCUUCGUUUUCUUCCCCUUUGGGGAACCUUCGUCUCCCCGAAGGGGAACACCCCUUCGUUUUCUUCCCCGAAGGGGAACCCAAAGUCUCCGUCCCCUUUAGGGGAAGAAGGGGAACACCCCCUUUGGUUCCCCUAAAGGGGACGAACACUAAAGGGGACAGACAACCCCUUUGGAACCCCAAAGGUUGUUCCCCUAAAGGGGAUGGGAACCAAAGGGUUGUCUUCCCCUAAAGGGGAACAAACUUUGGAAACCCUUUAGGGGAUGAACUAAAGGUAAUGACAACCCUUUGGGGGGGGGGAACCUUUGGUUCUUUGGGUUCCCCCUUCGGGGUUGUCUUCAUCCCCUUUAGUGCUCUUCUUCUUCCCCUUUAGGGGAAGAACCCCAAAGUCUUCGUCCCCUUUAGGGGAACCAAAGGGGAACACUAAAGUGUUCUUCUUCCCCUUUAGGGGAACUAAAGGGGAACCCCCUUUAGUUCCCCUAAAGAAGAUGAACCAAAGGGGUUCCCCUUCGGGGAUGACGUAGGGGUGUUUCCCUUCUUCCCCUAAAGGGGACGGAGACUUUGGGUUCCCCUUCGGGGAAGAAAACGAAGGGGAAC